AGAGUUUGAUCAUGGCUCAGGAUGAACGCUAGCGACAGGCCUAACACAUGCAAGUCGAGGGGCAGCGGAGAGGUAGCAAUACCUUUGCCGGCGACCCGGGCGCACGGGGUUGAGUAACACGUAUGCAAUCCACCUGUAACAGGGGGAUAACCCGGAGAAAUCCGGACUAAUACCCCAUAAUAUGGGCGCUCCGCAUGGAGAGCCCAUUAAAGAGAGCAAUUUUGGUUACAGACGAGCAUGCGCUCCA
rnacentral:rRNA from 1 species